rnacentral:rRNA from 1 species
AGAGACAGCAGUAGCCACGGUAAUACGAAGGGGGCUAGCGUUGCUCGGAAUUACUGGGCGUAAAGGGAGCGUAGGCGGAUCGUUAAGUUGGGGGUGAAAGCCCGGGGCUCAACCUCGGAACUGCCUUCAAUACUGGCGAUCUUGAGUAUGAGAGAGGUGUGUGGAACUCCAAGUGUAGAGGUGAAAUUCGUAGAUAUUCGGAAGAACACCAGUGGCGAAGGCGACACACUGGCUCAUUACUGACGCUGAGGCUCGAAAGCGUGGGGAGCAAACAGGAUUAGAUACCCCUGUAGUCCCUGUCUCUUAUAC